rnacentral:rRNA from 1 species
AACAGAGGGGGCAAGCGUUAUUCGGAAUUAUUGGGCGUAAAGGGCGCGUAGGCGGCCUGGCAAGUGGAAGGUGAAAUCCCUCGGCUUAACCGAGGAACUGCCCUCCAAACUGCUUGGCUUGAGUCCGGGAGAGGUGAGUGGAAUUCCCAGUGUAGCGGUGAAAUGCGUAGAUAUUGGGAGGAACACCAGUGGCGAAGGCGGCUCACUGGACCGGAACUGACGCUGAGGCGCGAAAGCGUGGGGAGCAAACAGG